UAAGCUGACAGCGGGUCAGUACUGGGGUCGGCUGAACCCUUCGCCAUCCUAGAGAUGUCACUGCCCCUCACCCCUCAGAGUAGCAGAGAGCUUGGAGAAGCCCUGACAGCAUCCUGUACACAAGGAUGCGGGAGAUUCCUCAUCUUGACUGCAGCCUGCUCUCCCUUCGACAGAGAGAAGCAAAGACCUCGUGCCACAGGGCCCAGUGGAGACAAGGUUAAUGGAUGGGUGACAGGUUGGGCAAAGGCGGGAAGAAAUAUGAAGUGGGAAUGUUCCAUGCAUCCCUUUCUCUUUGUGGCACUCAGGUGAUGCCUCAUGCGGGACUAAAGGAAGAGUGGACACACAACUGCCUGGGCUGGUGAUCACCUUCAUUAACACCAAAUCCUCUCAACUGGGAUCAGUGCGUGGUGAGCGGCUCCUCUGAACCCUUCCAGCGUCGGGAACAGCCUGGACUGGCAGAAACACCCACAAACGUAAUUAGCCCAGGAAGCCGAGCUGCGUCACCCUCACCCUCACACGGGCUCUGAAGCUCCGGUGUUUGCGGCUUCGUGCUCAUUCCCAUGCUUAUUUUUUAAGGCUUCCUGUCUGGUUGCCUGUCUUGAGGUGUCCCUGGGGACUCAAAUGAUGUGUGUCGACAUUC
rnacentral:lncRNA from 1 species